rnacentral:rRNA from 1 species
GAUCCUGGCUCAGAUUGAACGCUGGCGGCAGGCUUAACACAUGCAAGUCGAACGGUAACAUAAAGAAGCUUGCUUCUUUGAUGACGAGUGGCGGACGGGUGAGUAAUGCUUGGGAAUCUAGCUCAUGGAGGGGGAUAACUACGGGAAACUGUAGCUAAUACCGCGUAAUAUCGAAAGAUUAAAGUGUGGGACCUUCGGGCCACAUGCCAUAAGAUGAGCCCAAGUGGGAUUAGGUAGUUGGUGAGGG